UGGGGGGCUUUCCGGGAUUAUUGGGCGUAAGAGCUCGUAGGCGGUUUGUCGCGUCUGCCGUGAAAGUCCGGGGCUCAACUCCGGAUCUGCGGUGGGUACGGGCAGACUAGAGUGAUGUAGGGGAGACUGGAAUUCCUGGUGUAGCGGUGAAAUGCGCAGAUAUCAGGAGGAACACCGAUGGCGAAGGCAGGUCUCUGGGCAUUAACUGACGCUGAGGAGCGAAAGCAUGGGGAGCGAACAGGAUUAGAUACCCUGGUAGUCCAUGCCGUAAACGUUGGGCACUAGGUGUGGGGGACAUUCCACGUUUUCCGCGCCGUAGCUAACGCAUUAAGUGCCCCGCCUGGGGAGUACGGCCGCAAGGCUAAAACUCAAAGGAAUUGACGGGGGCCCGCACAAGCGGCGGAGCAUGCGGAUUAAUUCGAUGCAACGCGAAGAACCUUACCAAGGCUUGACAUGGGCCGGACCGGGCUGGAAACAGUCCUUCCCCUUUGGGGCCGGUUCACAGGUGGUGCAUGGUUGUCGUCAGCUCGUGUCGUGAGAUGUUGGGUUAAGUCCCGCAACGAGCGCAACCCUCGUUCCAUGUUGCCAGCGCGUAAUGGCGGGGACUCAUGGGAGACUGCCGGGGUCAACUCGGAGGAAGGUGGGGACGACGUCAAAUCAUCAUGCCCCUUAUGUCUUGGGCUUCACGCAUGCUACAAUGGCCGGUACAAAGGGUUGCGAUACUGUGAGGUGGAGCUAAUCCCAAAAAGCCGGUCUCAGUUCGGAUUGGGGUCUGCAACUCGACCCCAUGAAGUCGGAGUCGCUAGUAAUCGCAGAUCAGCAACGCUGCGGUGAAUACGUUCCCGGGCCUUGUACACACCGCCCGUCAAGUCACGAAAGUUGGUAACACCCGAAGCCGGUGGCCUAACCCCUUGUGGGAGGGAGCUGUCGAAAGGUGGGACUGGCGAUUGGGACUAAGUCGUAACAAGGUAACC
rnacentral:rRNA from 1 species